rnacentral:tRNA from 1 species
GGAUCUUUUAGCUCAGUUGGUUAGAGCAACCGGCUCAUAACCGGUAGGUCCGGGGUUCGAGUCCUGAAGGUCCACCA